CUUACUCUUAUGAAUCAAUGGUAGUCUUAUGGUUUGAUAUAGAAGAGAUUGUUCAUGCUUUUUUGUAGGCAGGCGAAUAGGUUCAAUAAAAAAUAUGCUUUUUUGUAGGCAGACGAAUAGGUUCAAUAAAAAAUAUUAGCCUUUCCUUCAAGUCCUCAGUGUCCCUACAUUUUGUAUAACAAAAAUCCUUCGUAAUUGAAUCAACCAGCAUUUCUAUAUCUAGCUCUAGCUUUUUAAUCGACAUUAUUACAAUUUUUUAAAAUUUUUUCAUUCUAAGCAGGAGACAAAAUAAGUUGGUAUUAUCCAUUCCUAUUUCUUCGUCGGAACUAUCACAGUGCAAAUAAAAACCCAAAUAUUUUGAUAGUAAGAAAU
rnacentral:lncRNA from 1 species